rnacentral:rRNA from 1 species
UGAUGCAGCCAUGCCGCGUGUAUGAAGAAGGCCUUCGGGUUGUAAAGUACUUUCAGCAGUGAGGAAGGUGGGUAUGUUAAUAGCAUAUUCAUUUGACGUUAGCUGCAGAAGAAGCACCGGCUAACUCCGUGCCAGCAGCCGCGGUAAUACGGAGGGUGCGAGCGUUAAUCGGAAUUACUGGGCGUAAAGCGCAUGCAGGUGGUUUGUUAAGUCAGAUGUGAAAGCCCCGGGGCUCAACCUCGGAAUUGCAUUUGAAAACUGGCAAACUAGAGUACUGUAGAGGGGGUAGAAUUUCAGGUGUAGCGGUGAAAUGCGUAGAGAUCUGAAGGAAUACCGGUGGCGAAGGCGGCCCCCCUGGACAGAUACUGACACUCAGAUGCGAAAGCGUGGGGAGCAAACAGGAUUAGAUACCCUGGUAG